AUAGCAUGUGUUCACUCAUGCCACGCCCCCUUUUUCCAACAUGUUAAGACAUGCCCUGGCUUGCAGAGAACGGCUGUCAGUUGAAUUUCAGUUUAUAAGUUAAGUUUCAGGUGGUGUUCAUGUGCAUCAGUGACCACAAAACCACACCUACACUGUUAAGAAAUAGUGCCUGUGCAUCUGUAUUUCAAAGUAUAUAUUAAAACCUUCAAAGAAUA